rnacentral:misc_RNA from 1 species
GUAGGUGAACCUGCGGAAGGAUCAUUAACACGUUCCAAAACGUAUCAACCAAACGGUUAAGUGCAAACUUAUUCCCUAUUUGGGAAAGCUGUUCAACUCUCUUUAGUGAUGGGUAAGUCUUCGGAUUUGCAGAGAGAGUUGACUAGGGUCUCGAGCCCGGUGCUUUCCUUCUUAGGCUUUUUCCCCUUUUUUUCCAUCACUUCCAACCAACCCUUUUCACCCCUUUUAACUUUAUGACUAAAUCUUUCGA